GGAGCUCGGCCCGGGCUGUUCGCUGGGCCGGGAGGCGGCAGCGCCCCCGGGGCCCCCUAGUUCGGACUAUCCAUUCAAGUUCCUGGGGCCCUGCGCCCGAUUCGGAGGUGGCACCCGCCGCCCUCCCUGCCUCUGUGCCCCCGUUUCCAGCCACCGCGCGGAAAUUUAGGUCAAGGACGCCGGGAGCACACCCACACCCUGCGCUCCCAGGGCAGUCCUCGAGAACCCCGGGAUCUGGGGGGCUUGCGGAUGGAGGAGACCCUCAUGCACGAACACCAGCCACAAGUUUUAUUUUCCCUUCGCGCGGCAAGUUCUCUGGCUCCCGCUCCACACUGGCACGUCCUGCACGGCUCCCCGCCCUUCCCCGGCAGAGGAUUAGGAGACAAUGGAAUUCACUCAUCACCAAAACUAUGCCGUGUCCAUUGUGGGUUUGGAGACAUUUGGAAAAAUCUCAACACAGCCAAAGCUUUUGAGUGGUCAGACUGUCAAUCUCUCUGUCCCCUAAACUGGGGUAGUGCCUCUCUGACAGCAUGGAUGGGCGGAGCAUUUGUAGUGAACAAUGUAACAAUGUCAAAGUCCCUUUUUAAAAUUGUGUACUUACAUGGACUGUGUUUAUUAUGGAUUGUGAAUAUGAUUUUUAGAAGGCACUUCAUAAGACUUCAGACCACAAACCCUGCUGUUUCCCAACACUCCAAACAAACUGAUUUUUGAAUCAUCUGGGUUCCCAUGUGUUAAAGAGCUGCAUGUUUUUAUGAUGGUAAUUGUUUUUUUGUGAUUAUUCACAAUCACAAAGUACAGGCAACACAGCUAAUUGGAUUAUAUUUUGGAUUUUUACCGCAGAACCACAGAUCAUCAGAGCUAGAAAGGCCUUUCUUUACCCGGCUCCUUCCUUGAAUAUGGGAGUCCCAAAGGUGCCAGGCUGUCAGGCCGCCUUCCCACCCCAACCAGUUAAUACCUAAAAGGGGCUCUGGCCAUGGUUCAGUGCCCUUUGACUCUGUAGUGUGCUGUUUGUUGUUCCUCGAUAGGCAGAAGUCAGUGGCUACCUUCCUGAUGUAGACUUGAACAAACUGUUAAGUGGUGAGCUGGGAGGAGACCUGAUGGGGCGGGGCCCCGAGCACUGCAGUGUCCAAGCCAGAGACUGAUAAAGGACUAAAGGAGAAGGCUACUACGUCACUCCACUGUUUUUCUUAAGGUUGGUAUUGUUGGAGUUGGAGUCUUGCAAUGCAAGAACCCAGACAGGCCUUGAACUGGAGAGAGCAUCCUGACACUGGCCACACCACCACCACCACCAAGUUUUAUUUUUCCUUCGCAGAUUGUGUUGUUUUGUUGAGAUGGUGUCUCAUGCGGCCCAGGCUGAUGGCGAACUCCAUAGAUUGCGGAGGAUCACGGCCUUGAACUUCUGACAUUCUUGCCUCUGCUGUUGCAAUUGUAGCUUGGGGCCACCGUGCCAGGUUUGCAGUGCUGGAGAUCAACCCCUAGGCUCCCAGUGCUCGCUAACAGGGAAGCUUCCACCAACUGAGCCACACACCCAGCCUUCAGGAGGUUGUUUUGCUUGUCCCAUCUCACUGCACUCACCACAUACCUAGGUGGCAACACUCUGCUACAGGCCUUCUUCCCCUGCUCCCUGGUUCUGAGAUUUGACCGAUGUACAGAUUGUAGGGUGACCAUCAAGAUAAACAUGUGGGACAGUUUCAUUGUCCAAAGCAAACACACACACACACAAAAAAAAAAAAANNNNNNNNCCUGGGCUCUCUGGCCCCUGGCCACUUUUCCUUUUCUAUCUCUGGGUCCUCCCUUCGUCUCUACUUUUCCUUUAAACAUUGGUGUGCUUCCUCUGCCUGAUGCUCUCCUCCAGCUACCCCCUCUCUGGAUGACCUUCCUAGCAGGAUGAGUUUAAAUACCACCCACAUGCUGAUGCUGCUCCAAAUCUCCUCCGGCCCUGACCUUGCCCGAGUUCCAGGCUCUGCACAGUAUCCUUUCUCUAUACAUCUCUGUUUACAUUUCCUAGAGGUAUUCCGGAUGUGGACGCAACACUGCCAAAGCCACACACAUACUAUUCUCCCCUACAUUUGAACCUCUUUUUGGAAUCUUCAUCAGUGAAGAGCCUUAGCCAGCCUGGAGGCAAUGUGGCUGAACUCUGCCCUUACCGUGUGCAACUCUGUAGAAUCCACCUUGAAAAUUUUGCUCAAAACUGUCUUAUUAUUAUUUCUCAAUUUAAAUUUAUUACAUUUUAAAAGUUUUAUUUCCAUGGUAUGUGUGUGCAUGUGUGAUCAUAGGACAGCUUUCAGGAAUCUGUUCUCGCUUUCUCCUAGGUUGCAGAGGUUGAAUUUAGCUAGUCAGGGUCAGGCUUCAUCAGCAAAAAUGUAUACCCAAUGGACCAUCAAAGCCUUCUCUCCUGCUACAGUAUAUCAGACCUCUUGCACCUGAGGCCAGGGGAUGGUCUCCCACAGCUGCCCACGAGGACUCUUAGUCCAUUUAUAUGCCUGGGAAGCUUUCCCACACUUUUCUAACCAGGUCAGAUGGCUCUCAAUAGACACUUAACCCACGGGAAGGUCCUCCGUGUACCUUACCUUGUGUGACCAUUUGCUUUAUCAUCCGUCACUGCCAAGCCACGAGCUCCCGUCCAGUUUGCUCUCCUUGUACCCAGUACAGUACCUGCUAGUUCAUGGCUGACGAUAAAUAAUUUUGGUGGUGGACAGAUUGAUAAAUGGGUGAAUGCUGCUGUCCAAUUUCACCCUAGGAUCUGUUUUGUGUGGUCAUGUGCAGAAGUCAAACUGACUGCAGUUUCCCCUUAAUGGUGUUAGCCCUUUAUAUUGGUCUCCUAACAUAGAAAAUGUUAUUUGCAUUCUUCUUUUUCUUUUUUCUUUUCUUUUCCUUUUUUUUUUCCUUUUCCAUUUUCUGGAACAGUAUGUUAAAGACUAUUAAUUAGGCCUGGACUGAUGAUACACACCAGCAAUUGGGAGGCAGAGGCAGGAGGAUCACUGUAAGUUCAGGGUUAGCCUUGUCUGCCUAGUAAGUCCCAGAGCAGAAAAGAAUACAUAAUAAAACCCUGUCUC
ensembl:lincRNA C030037D09Rik RIKEN cDNA C030037D09 gene